AGCGAUUCAGAAUCACUCGCCCAGGCAACGGGUCCGGAGAGCGACGCGAUCCCUGAGCCCAUCGCCCUACCAGCGGAAAACCCGACUCACGAAACGGCCGCCGAUUUAAUUAAAGCCUCAACGGCCGAAGUAACAGAAACGGCCCUAUCCAACGAGCAGGAACGCCCGCAACAACAAAGCAGAACUACGAGAUGGCUUGAUCCUCGAAAGAGGUACGUAGGCAGCUUGUCCUAUUGACAAGUUCAGCUAUCCCCCUCUCCAAAAAGGGGGGGGGGAGUGGGUACGUAUACUCGUAUACUCCCACAAAGUUUGGAAUAUCCACACAUGUACUCGAUAUUUUCAAAACUUUUCCAAUAAAACUCAUUUUAUUACGGUCUCCCGAUUCACUUGCAAUAAUCCACAACAAUCGGAGAUUAACCUGAGAAACAUCCAAGACAAGGGUCUCCAAACACGCAUACCUUUCAAGCAGUCCUUCGAUGGGAACUAACUUAAACAA
rnacentral:lncRNA from 1 species